UGUGAGGCCUGAACCAGCCAUCGUAACAGCAAAGUUUGGCUUGUGCUGGACCUCCAGUCACAUGGUUUGACUAAUGACCACCUGCCACCAGCAGCAAUCACAGUAUCAUCACUUGGAUAAACAGCAUCCCGUUUGAUUGGAGAAUCUUCUCGGCCGAGUUCAGGAUCUCUUCAAUUCCCCCUUUUUUAAAAAAUGUCCUCGUGUACGCCCAUGAGAGUGUGGGUGUAUUCACGAGGACUCCCUUUUUACCCUAUCCCUCCUGGAUUCAACUUUAUUGCGCGGAUGGAGCAACUGUGGAUGGAUGCCUGGCUGUACAUUUCCCAGGCAAAAAGAAAAACAAGUCGAUCCUUCAUCCUUCUUUGCCGGCCGCCUCUAUGUUGAAAAGAAAAAGCGGCACAUUCUUGGACUGAUACGGUUUUCAUCAUCAUCAUCUCAACUUCUCUUUUCACAUUCAUUCGUUUCAUCGGACGCACAUAUUUCUGUAGAUGUAUAUACCGCAUCAUCUUAUGCUAAUGGCUAGCCACAGUAGCCCACAGGAAGAUAUGCGCAGUAGCUACACACAGUGGCUGGAUGGAUAUAUAUACUACCUGCUUCCAGCCAGCCACAGCCGCUGAUGGAUGUGUGUGGAUAUAUCCAGCACACAUCAAAAACAUAAGGGGGGGCCUUCUCUAAAUUCAUCUAUCUAUGCAGAUUAUAUUUUUGGGUUGUAGCUAUACAGUAGCUUUUAUGGUGAUCAAAUCUAAAUGCCAUCAAAUGUAUGUUUUGUGUUGUUUUGUUAUACAUGUUUCCGCGGUGUGCGAUGACGUAUUAAUGAUGGAGAGAAGAAGCUCCGCCUACUUUUCAGUCACAGGAGCAGCCGAUCAAAUUCUUUUCGUCGAUAUUAUUAUCAAAGGAGGCUGUACGAUCUCUACA